GACGAACGCUGGCGGCGUGCUUAACACAUGCAAGUCGAGCGGAGCGGGGAACGGGUGAGUAACGCGUGAGUAACUGCCCCCCUCUCGGGGAUAACAGUUGGAAACGGCUGCUAAUACCCGCUAGUGGGGGAUGACUCGCGUCCUAUCAGCUUGUUGGUGGGGUAGGGGCCGCUCAAGGCGACGACGGGUAGCCGGCCUGGGAGGGCGACCGGCCACAUUGGGCUGAGAGACGGCCCAAAGUCCGACGGGAGGCAGCGGUGGGGAAUAUGGCACAGUGGGGGAAACCCUGAUGCAGAAACGCCGCGUGCGGGAUGACGGCCUUCGGGUUGUAAACCGCUUUCAGCCAUGACGCGGUAGUGGCAGAAGAAGCACCGGCUAACUACGUGCCAGCAGCCGCGGUAAUAC
rnacentral:rRNA from 1 species